rnacentral:lncRNA from 1 species
UAGAAAAACACAGAUAUGGUGGUUGACACAGUCCUAAAAAAUGGAGUCAUGGAGGUAAGUACAUACUGCUCUUUGGAGAAACAUGGUUGUAAGGUGAACGAAAAACUAAGGUGUACACUAGAAGGAAACAGAGCGACAAAAUAGGAGAUGCUGAAAGAAAAAGAGAAGUUGAAAUACAGAAGAGAAGAGACGCAAUGUAAGCUUCCCAAAGAAAUGAGAAGAUGUGAUUCAAAGAACAGAUGGUAGGUUUAACAUUUGAAAUGUAGGACAACAAUUUAGCUAAAAUAGAAAGGGAAGAGGUAAGGCUGGCUCUGACUAUAUUUACACUUGUUUGUGUUUUGGGGAGAGAAAGGAAGUGGAGAACGUUCUUGCAAGAUGAUCUGUAUUUUCUCUCUAAAGCAGAGUUCAUUUGCUGAGAAUGAUGGAGAAAAUCAGCAUCUAGCUAAUCAGCUGACCAUGAGAUGCAGAGAUUAUCUGGAAUUAUCCAGAUUGGUCCAUUUAAUUACAUGAGUCCUUAAAAGUGGAAAGUGGAAGAAGAGGCAGAAGAGUGUGUCAGAGAGAUGCUGUGUGAAAAGGACUCAACCUGCCACUUGAGGCUUUGAGGCUGGAGAAAGGGGCCAUGAACCAAGGAUUGUGAGCAGCCUGUAAAAUCUGGAAAAGACAAGGCAAUACCCUUUGCUGUCUCAGGGUCAAACAUGCAACUCCUGCCUGCUUGUAUGGCCAGCUGGGUUCAAGAAGGAAGGAACCUCAUUGUUGACAGUUACCAGAUGAAUGUGCCCCUUCUGUACAGCUAAGAAAUGGAAUAGACAUUGGUAACCUUCCACAGGCCCACACAUGUGUUAUCAGCCAUACCUUAGGACAGAAGGAAUGAGUUUGCAGAAAGGAUGCUCUUCAGAACUCAUGAAGACAUAAGGUGCUUCAAAAGAGGAGACUUUCGGAACAUGAGCAGGGAAAUUGUCACUUGAUAGAUGACAAGCAUUGUGAGAAACAACAGUUUGCCUUUCUUCAUUCCCUUCCUGGUUAUCUUUCCUGUCACAUGAAGAAGAAAUGAAACACCAGAGAGAAUCAGGUUAUCAUCAUCUACACCAGCCACUGUCACUGGCCUUCAAAGUUCAACCUCCCUGGAACUCCAGAACUCCCCACUUUAUAAGAUGAAUGGCUAAUUGGAUCCUAGUACAUAAGGAAACACUGGCAAAAUAGCGCCCUACAACCAUACUGAGAAUUUAGCCCUGGGGACAUCUUCCGAUAUAAUCUGGCAUAGAAGAGUGGUUAUCACACCUUUAGCAUGGGAAAGAGCCACAGAUUUGCUUCUUCCUAGCAAGGGCGUGAUACUAAUUCCAGAUCCAUCCAAAUAUUGUUCACUGCUUCUUAGACAGAGACCCCUUUCUCCCAGGACCCUUGAGACACCUUUGCUGUGAAUAAUGGAGAAGCAAAAGGAGUUACUAAUGAAGACAAACUAAACCUGAGAACAGAGAGAGCCUAACUAUGUGCUCCAGAAGUGCCAUGUGUGUCUAAGGUAGGUCCAAAGGUAUGAGUCUAGAGAUAUUAUGUAUAAAACACCUAAUUGAAUGUCAAAAAAUCCAUAGAAGCUUAAUAAUUGGUAGCAAUUAUUAUUACUCAUUAGUGUGGGGGCUGGGAAGAUGACAACAGAGUAUAACUUGGAGGGUUGGUGUAGAGCAAUUAGCUAGCAACUGUAGUUUGAAUUUCCAUGAAGUAGUUCCCUUAAUUGUGUACACACAAACACAUCAAAACUGAAACCACAGCUAUGUGAUUUAAUAAUGUUGCACGUUUAGACAUGAUACAAGGCACUUUUGCCUACAUUAUCUUUCUGUGAGUUUAACAUUAGACCUGGUAUAAUUAUCCUAAAUUUACUACUAGAGAAUUUAGUUUGAAAAGUCAUGCAACUUUUCUAAAGAAUUUUUUCUGAUUUAAUAACACCAAUCAAUGAAUUAAUCAAUCAACUGUUCUGGCCAUUAAAUGUGUGAGAAAAAAAAGUCAGUGUAUUAAUUAUAAUUAUAUACCGAGACUUGGCUCUGUGUGUUUCACAAAAUAAGUAUAAAGUAUCAAAUUUGUUAUAAAUGUGUGACCCAUUAAAAGAAAAAAAAACUUGAUAGAUGUGUAUUUGGUAACAGCUUUUUAGAAAAUUUUUUGAACAUUUAUGAUGUUCAGAAAAGAACAGUGAUCAGUGUGCUAAAUUAAAUUACUUGAAUAAAUUAUGGAGAAAAAGUUCUGAUUUUUGUGCAAGGUUUGCAUUCUGGAUUGAGGUCCAGUUCUUUUUGAAGUAUCUGAAAUCAAACAUAUAUUUCCAAACCCUGAGGACUGAUUUCCUUCUGAAGACCACCCUCUCUUCUAUUUGAGGAACUCCAUAUUCCUUCUUGUAACACUACUCUGAUUCUAUAUCAAGCAAUCUUGGCCUUGUUAAGAUAAGAAAGUUGCCUUAAGCACUUUCCAAAGCUUUCCUACAUUCACUGUUGGUGGAUGGUGUCCCUACCCUACUUGUUCCCCUGCAGAACCUCAGAUUGGAGAUAUAAGGGGUGAAAUAACAGCCAAGUACCUCAGAGCUAAGUACUUUACAUAUAACUCAUUUAAUCCUCACAGCAUUGCUAUGGAACAAGUACUAUUAUUCAUCCCAGUUUACAGAUAGAAACUAAGGCAGAGAAAGGUUAAAUAAUCAAAGUUUACCUACUAGAUAACAGAGUGGGGGUAGAAACCAAGCCAUUCUGGCUUUUCCUGCUUGUAACACCAGGGUGGUAAAGGUGAAAAUUUGGGUUCAUUCUCACAGAGAAGAGGUUAUUAAGGCUCAGACUGGACAGAUAGCAUGGGAAUGAUGAGCAAGCAGGAAAUUUAAGAGUCAGAUCUUAGAAAAAUAUGACAAAGCCUAGAGACUGGCAACUGACAUGAUCUGAGAAAAGUGAGGAGGCCAGUGUUCCUUGUUUGGAAACAGGAGGAAUAAUGGGACCACUGGUUGAAAUGGAGUGCAAAUGUCUUAUAAGAAAAGGAAAAAAAUGACACCAACUUGACCCUCAAGUAUAUUUUGAGUAUAUUCUAUUUCUCUUUUCAUUAGAAGAAAUUUAAUUUGAGAAAUGAAUAGAGAAAGAAAGGGGAAAGGAGAAUGUUUCAAAGAAUAAGGUUAAAGUCAUCACAGCUUGACAGCAAUCUAAAAGUCAAAAAGUAUGCCAGAAUAGCAGGUAUUUGAGACCCACUGUUCGAAACAAUUUUAUUUUAAACACAUGUGGUUCCUUAAUGAUACUGGUAGCAUGGUGGUUGUGCAGCCCGCCUUUAGCAGGAAGUGCUGAUUUGCUUAAUUCUAUUAAGCCUAUAAGAAAGGUAAAUCUGUCUCCUGAACUUAAGGGGCCUCUGCUCUAAAGUAAGUUUGACAUUGGCCAAUAAUCACCCUGACAUUCUUGUGGCUUUGGCUGCUCUUGAAGCUGCUGAAUUGCACCAAGAGAAGAGGCUGAGUGAGAAAGCCUGGUUAUAGCAAUGGCCCAUCCUGUCAGUGCUGGGAGUGGGUACUAUACUCAAAGCAGUAUAAAUACAGAUGCUGCACAUUAUGCUCUGCUAUGCUGGCUGCCUUUGGGAUGAUUGUUGGGAAAGUUCUUGAAGCCAGUGGUGUUAGAGGGGACAGUGUGCUUCUUGAAACAAAAGAGUUGAUGGUGAGAAUGGUCUUUGAAAACUGUACUCUUUACAAAGGUGAACUCUGCAAACUGGGCCUACUGAAAGAAAUAGGGAUUCUAUUUUCAUUACUGUUUUAUCAUCAAAAUACCAUAAGGCCUGGCCCUUAGCAAAUAGUCCUUAAAUAUCUGAUACCAUUAGAAGCUUGCUUCUAUGAAGGGUGAUCACCCAUCCCAGUUUGCGUGGGACAGUCUUAGUUUACAUUAUUGUCCUUGCAUCCUGUUCAGCUGGUAUAUAUCCAAGUCUCUUAAUUUUUAUUCAAGUAUUAUUAUUAAUAGUUGUACAAAAAUAAGUCAGAAUAAGUUUGGUAGACCUCUACUUUAUUUCCAGCUUCUGUCAUUUUCUUCCUGGUAGUAGGUAUGAGACAUAUAUACAUGGAAAGAUAAUCAGCAGUAGCCUAUCUCUCUCCCUUUAAUUUUUUAAAGAACUUUCCAGAUUCAAGAAUGGACAAGGCACUCAGUUAUGAGCAACAAAUUCCUUUUGUCUUGGAGAUCAUGGAAGAAGUAUUAGAUGCUGCUCCCCUUAGUGUAACAGCCAGUUUUGUUGCAGCCUGUGGGGCCUGCAAGCUACACAAAACCACCAGGAUCCUAGAAGAGUCACUAGGAAACGUAGAGUAUUAUAGCUAGAUAAACAUCAUCACAUAUGUGUAAAAGAUAGAGACUGAACAGUCCAGUCUUAAAAUGUAUAGCAAAGUAGUUUGAAUGCUCUUGUUACAGUGAUUUUGUCAUCUACCAAUUUUAAGUGUGUAGUGAUUUAUCUAUCACAUUAUUUGGCAAUACUUUCUGAAUUUUGCAAUACAUGCAACAAUGACCUAAAAAAUGAAAGUGCAUGUUUAAUUUAAAAAUUAAAAGUAAAGCCAGGCGCAGUGGCUCACACCUGUAAUCCCAGCACUUUGGGAGGCUGAGGCGGGCGGAUUACCUGAGGUCGGGAGUUCAAGACCAGCCUGACCAACAUGGAGAAACCCUGUCUCUACUAAAAAUACAAAAUUGACUGGGCGUGGUGGUGCAUGCCUGUGGUCCCAGCUACUUGGGAGGCCGAAGCAGGAGAAUUGCUUGAACCUGGGAGGCGGAUGUUGCGGUGAGUGGAGAUCGCGCCAUUGCACUCCAGCCUGGGCAACAAGAGCAAAACUCUGUCUCAAAAAAAAAAAAAAAAA